rnacentral:rRNA from 1 species
AGAACGAACGCUGGCGGCAUGCCUAAUACAUGCAAGUCGAACGAACUCUUCGGAGUUAGUGGCGCACGGGUGCGUAACGCGUGGGAAUCUGCCCUUGGGUUCGGAAUAACAGUUGGAAACGACUGCUAAUACCGGAUGAUGACGAAAGUCCAAAGAUUUAUCGCCCAGGGAUGAGCCCGCGUAGAUAGCUAGUUGGUGAGUAAGCUCACCAGCGACGAUCCUUAGCUGGUCUGAGAGAUGAUCAGCCACACUGGGACUGAGACACGGCCCAGACCUCCGUACGGGAGCAGCAGUAGGGAAUAUGGACAAGUGGGCGAAAGCCUGACUCCGAGACAAUGCCGGCGUGGAGUGAA